rnacentral:ncRNA from 1 species
GAAUCAACGAUGAUCGGGAAGAGUAAGUCAGGAGCCCUUUGCAGAGAGGAGAAUCAGAUGCUGGAAGAUUCUCUAAGGAGAGAUGGACUGAAGGUCGCCCGGGAGUUGUUUUUGGUGAACACGAUGUGUCUAGCCAAAAGCGGUUCGCAGCCGUUAUCUUGUUUGAGGGAACAUACGCUGGACUCUUCUUGCCGUAUGUUAACAAAGGUGGUACCGCGAAAUAAUCCUUUCGUCCUUUGG